GCGAGUGAAGCGGCAACAGCUCAAAUUUGAAAGCUGGCUUAGGCCCGCAUUGUAAUUUGCAGAGGAUGCUUCUGGCGAGGUGCCUUCCGAGUUCCCUGGAACGGGACGCCAUAGAGGGUGAGAGCCCCGUAUGGAUGGACACCAAACCUGUGUGAAGCUCCUUCAACGAGUCGAGUAGUUUGGGAAUGCUGCUCUAAAUGGGAGGUAAAUCUCUUCUAAAGCUAAAUACCGGCCAGAGACCGAUAGCGCACAAGUAGAGUGAUCGAAAGAUGAAAAGCACCUUGAAAAGGGGGUUAAACAGUACGUGAAAUUGUUGAAAGGGAAGCGCUUGUGACCAGACUUGCGCCGGGCAGCUCAUCAGGGGUUCUCCCCUGUGCACUCUGCCCGGCUCAGGCCAGCAUCGGUUUUCGUGGGAGGAUAAGAACGGCAGGAACGUGGCCCCCCUCCGGGGGGGUGUUAUAGCCUGCCGUACGAUACUCCCGUGGGGACCGAGGUUCGCGCUCCGCAAGGAUGC
rnacentral:rRNA from 1 species